GUAAUUAGCAAUUACCGUUUAAGUAUAUCCAAAACUGAAGAACACCCGAAGAAUUGCCGACCGGAGAAGUUGGCGACUGGAAGGGGUGGGUAUGCUCAAAUUAAAUGGAGCUGGAUGUCGGCGGUUGGUCCGAAUCUGAGCAACGGAAUCGAUAGGGCGGCAUGCAUGAUCGCGAUACACCGAAUGUGAUUACUCUAGAUCGAGCUCCACAUUCUUCCCCCCUGUAAACCGAAUCUUGGGCACAGCACGUGCGAGCGACGCAGCGAAGCCUCCACCUCACAACUCUGCAUGCGAUCCGAUGCAAGUGCUUUAUAUCCGUACCACACCCCAAACCAAGUUUCCUUCCCCCCUCUCGUCUUCUCCAACGCUGACACUAUCAAGAGAACAUCGCCACUUUAUUCUACAGUUGUCAAACGUAAUACAAAAGUCAGCAUGACCUAAUCAAGAACACAUCAUCAGUAGAAAUUCACUGGUAGGGUAAAAGAAUAAAGUCAUAGUGCAUUAUCAAACAAUCAUUUCCUCAGCUUACACAAGAGAUGUAAAUCCAAAGAAAAAUCUAAACAAGGGGGCGGUCGGCCGGCUUCUAGUGACCUUCUACCACUGCUGACUUUAAGCAUUGCUUUCUCCAUUCCUUCCUCCCCCUUUCCUCGCUGCCUAGUGGACAAGUGGUUGCCCAACAAGAAUUAAUAAAACCCAAACGAUAUUUUUUUCACUAAUUAACCUGUCAUCACUACGGGGUCCCACCACACCGGGUUGAGCCCAACCCCCAAAAAUGGAGAAGAAAAAAAAUGAGAGAGAGAGAGAGAGNNNNN
rnacentral:lncRNA from 1 species